rnacentral:rRNA from 1 species
AUUGAACGCUGGCGGAAUGCUUUACACAUGCAAGUCGAACGGCGGCAUAGGUGCUUGCACCUGAUGGCGAGUGGCGAACGGGUGAGUAAUACAUCGGAACGUGCCCAGUCGUGGGGGAUGACGUAGCGAAAGUUACGCUAAUACCGCAUACGAUCUAAGGAUGAAAGCGGGGGACCGUAAGGCCUCGCGCGAUUGGAGCGGCCGAUGUCAGAUUAGGUAGUUGGUGAAGUAAAGGCUCACCAAGCCGACGAUCUGUAGCUGGUCUGAGAGGACGACCAGCCAGCCUGGGACUGAGACACGGCCCAGACUCCUACGGGAGGCAGCAGUGGGGAAUUUUGGACAAUGGACGCAAGUCUGAUCCAGCCAUUCCGCGUGCAGGACGAAGGCCUUCGGGUUGUAAACUGCUUUUGUACGGAACGAAAAAGCUCUUACUAAUACUAGGAGUCCAUGACGGUACCGUAAGAAUAAGCACCGGCUAACUACGUGCCAGCCGCCGCCGUAA